GAUGAACGCUGGCGGCGUGCCUAAUACAUGCAAGUCGAGCGAACAGACGAGGAGCUUGCUCCUCUGACGUUAGCGGCGGACGGGUGAGUAACACGUGGAUAACCUACCUAUAAGACUGGGAUAACUUCGGGAAACCGGAGCUAAUACCGGAUAACAUGUUGAACCGCAUGGUUCAACAGUGAAAGACGGUCUUGCUGUCACUUAUAGAUGGAUCCGCGCCGCAUUAGCUAGUUGGUAAGGUAACGGCUUACCAAGGCAACGAUGCGUAGCCGACCUGAGAGGGUGAUCGGCCAAACUGGAACUGAGAAACGGUCCAGACUCCUACGGGAGGCAGCAGUAGGGAAUCUUCAGCAAUGGGCGAAAGCCUGACGGAGCAACGCAGCGUGAGUGAAGAAGGUCUUCGGAUCGUAAAACUCUGUUAUUAGGGAAGAACAAAUGUGUAAGUAACUAUGCACGUCUUGACGGUACCUAAUCAGAAAGCCACGGCUAACUACGUG
rnacentral:rRNA from 1 species